ACAUUCUCCCCCGGCUCCGGAUGGCGCUCCUGGAAGCUCUGCAGCUAGGCUCCACUUCAAAUGGGGAGGGUAGACCUGAAGCUUUCUUUGUACACACUGACACAAGACCACUGCUUCAUUGAUUCUUGAGCAAGGGGAACAAUGGAAGAAAGCCACUUUUUUGUUGUUAAAGUGAGGUAGCAUGUCUGCUGUAGUUAGAAAGAGCAUUGUCUCUCCAGUGUCCCAAAUUCACUUCCAUUAAACAGUCAAUGUGAUAACUGUCUGUGACAUGUUCUAUUAUCUUUCUAGUUGUUCCGAUGUUCCUUUCAGCUGGUCCUAUAGCCCCCUUUCUCAGUAAUGUCUCCCCAGUGAAAGGAAAAAGACUGCAGAAGCUUCUGAUGGACGCUCAUGCCAACUGUGAAGUUGAAACAAAGCAAGUAACCAGCUGAAGAGGCCCCUCCUGCCCAGCAGCCACCCACAUGGUGCAGUUGCAGCCAGUAGUAAUCUUUGCAAGAAACAGAGAAACCCAGAACAUUCAGAAGUCAAAAACACCCCCUUCCUUGUGUGUAUCCCUCUGUCUGCGUUCAGGUUGAUGUGCCUUCCAUUUUGAUCCUGGCAUGAAUAUGCUUGUUACUGUACAAGUAUAAAGGUAACUUUGCCCAAAUGUGUUAAUGUAUGAAGAGACUGAAUUGGGGGGAGGGGAGUUAUUUUUAUCAAAACACAGUGUUUGUUCUUGAGAGUGAUCUAGAAAAUGAAAAGCAGUUUGAAAAGACAGCAAAACAGUCACAGGCGAUCCACAGAGAUGCUCAUACCGUCACACAAAAACACCACAUCAUGCCCCCCCCCCAGACUCUGAGCAGGAAACUUGGCUCUGUGACAUACUGUGGCUGCUGCCAAGGGUCAACAUCAAGCCAGACAAAGGUGCAGAAGCUACCUAAAGUGUAGUGAUAAACCGAGUCAGGAGACAAUAAGAACAGUAACCACUCAAAGACAAUGCUCUUGGAGGUUUCCAAGUGGGUUUGCUUAAGAAAGGAUACUCCCUUAAAGAGAGAAUAGGAAAUAAACCUUUAAAGGAUGUAAAAACAAAAUUAGAUAAACUGGAAGAUAGGAGAAAAUAGAGUCCUUAAUGCAAACCUAAGAGUAAGCAAUGGAAUGGUAGAGGAGAUCCACAUGGUAAGUUUUGGAGACUACACAUAUCCCAUCUUGAUUUCGCCUGACACUUGGAACCCCUGUCCGCGUGUCUAGUAGAGAUGCUGCACACAGGUAUCUCUCCUCUCCCACCCCAGAUGUCACCUCAACUGAACUAGAACUAAAGUUCCAGUUCUGUGUCACUACAAAGAUUGGUUGGUGGUUUCUGAGUAGAAUUCGUGACUCUUCUGUUCGUAAUUGCUUGUUACCAAGUUUAUUCCAUACAGGAAAUGUUUUGCACAUUAAAUCUCAUAGUUGCUAUGAAAACUACACAUCACCCACAUUUCACAGGUGAAGAAACUGAUUUUGGUGAGGUUGAGUGCCUGGCCAAGGCACUACAUGCAGCUAUGCACAUUCAAGGUUGUGGUCAUGAAACUCAGUCCCUAGUCUGACUUUUGUGAAGAGUUCCAACACAGUUGUCACCUUUUCCAUGGGCCUUAAUGCCUGUCUUUAGAAACACAUGGCUCUUCUGCUGACUUAUGGCCACAGUAUUUCCUACUUUCAUGUUGAAUUAUACCAAAAUGAUAAAAUGUAUUUUCAUGGAAGAAAAUUGAGAAUUUAGUGAAAUACACUACCUGCCAGGAGUUUGUACGUUUCGUCUUGAUUUUGGUCUGAUAGGAGACUUUUGAUUUAGUUUUGCAUGAAAUCUCAAAGUUUUAAGAGCAGUAAGGAUAGGGCCUUAAGUUACCUGUUAUAGUACUUUUUGACAGAAGAUGCAAAUCUACAGCCUGUAAUCAGAGUGACAAACAAACAACAAAAAAGACACCCCCUCCCCACAAAAACUCAAAUCAAACCAACCAAACAAACAAACAAUGAAAUAAACAAAACUGCCCACUUACAUGGAAAUGUCCUAACAAAGACCAGAAACUAAGCCCUCAGUUAUUUUUCAAUGGCUUUUAAAUUAUUCCACCCUGUCCUAAAGAAACAUGAACUUGUAUUUGACUAAAGGCACUAAUGUUGCAUAGAUUUGAUCUAGUAAAAUCUAGCUCCUUCCCUCCUUGGUACUCAUGUCCAUGUUAAAUACAGCUGUGAACUAGUGUAUUUAUGUCAAGAAGUUGUCAAUGAUCUGUCCCCAAAGAACACAGAAUAGCCAAUGUUGUAUAUAUACUCCAUCUUUAAUCCAACCAUGAAGUCAUUAGUUCACCUGCACCAAUCCAAUCCAUUGUGCAUCUUCUCAACCAACCUGACCUAUGGCAAUCAUUUGCAAGUGCUAUAAAUGUUUAUCUAUGACUGUUCCAGAAAUAGUUAAGUAUUAACAAAUACCACUAGUCAUUUGGUGAUGUAAUCCUUGUUUAUCUGUGUAACUAAUUCAAAAAGACUUUGGCCAUAAAACCCUAGAACUAAAAACCCCAUUCUUGGCUUUCAGCCACUCUACAAUUGAUUGACAUUUAACAGUGAUUAAUAAAUUGUCCAUCUAAAU
rnacentral:lncRNA from 1 species